GCUGGGUGCGGUGGUUCACACCUGUAAUCCUAGCACUUUGGGAGGCUGAGGUGGGUGGAUCACCUGAGGUCAGGAGUUCAAGACCAGCCUGGCCAACAUGGUGAAACCCCAUCUCUA
rnacentral:SRP_RNA from 1 species